UUGACUUCUCUGGAUUGUUUGUCUAAGA
rnacentral:misc_RNA from 1 species